AGCCCCCCCGCCCCUGCCACUCUCUCCGGUCCCAGUGGACAGAUCCAGACCCUGCUGUACUUGCCUCUCUCCCCUGGGCAGCAGGAGUCCCGGAGGUCUCAGCCUGGGGAAAGGAGGGCUGUUGACCGAUACCCAGUGCUCCCUCCUUCCAGGUGCGUCCUGUCUGCCCUGGCGUGGCCUUGGACCUGCUUUGGGGGAAGGUCAUGAGGGAAGGAAGUGUGUCCCUUCUGGGCAGAGGCGAUACGACCCUUGUGUUCUCUGCCAGGUUUCUGCUCCUGCAGCCUGGGAAUGUCUCAGGCAGUCCUGCUCUGACCACCUGGGCCUACAGUGACUCACCAGGCAGCCCAUGCAGGCAGGGAGCUCAAAUGAGAAAGGAGCCCUUGUGAGAUCUGGGGGCUCUUCCUUUUGCAGCGUGUCCCAGCCCACUGUGACUGACGCAGGAGGCCAUCGGGAGUCAGGAAGGCGGUGAGGCAUGGCUCCUGCCUCAAGGGACGGUGACCCAGAGGCACCUGUUUUCAAACCUGAAGCAAAAUGAGACGAGAUCUCCCUCUUGGGUCUGAGGAUCUUUGGAUGAGCACGGCCUGGACUUUCCUCUGUCUUCUCUCCAAAAGCUGGUGGCUAGAGGAUCGGCUGUGUGAAAUAUUUUCCAGGCCAGGGUUGUUUCCGGUUAUUGUGUGAUGUUCACAGGCUCUGACUCGUAGGCAGAUCUCGGCUGUGCCGCUCUCUUUUCAAGCAGCCCUCACUGCUUCCUGCAGUGCUGCCACGAGAACAGGGGACCUCUGCCUGCCUUGCUCACUCGGCCCUAGUCGUGUGGGCAGUGGUGUGACCAGGUGGACCCUGGGGCUCCUGGCCGAGCACAGCAUGGCCACAGCAGAUGUCACAGGCCCUGGUUCUGGGAAUGUGUGCCCAUCCUUCUCUUGAGUUCUUUGUGGGAAAGGCAGAAUUGUAAGCUAGAUGCAGCCUCACCACUGCCCACCUGUAAGGUGAGGUGAAGGUGGCUUGUGGCCGGCAGGCUGGACUGCCCAUUGGGCCUGGUCCCUGCCUCCUUGCCCCCUCCAGUGUCCCCACGUGGGCUUGUUCACCAGUUGGUCAGCCCUGUGGCUGCAUAUUCCUCCUCCUGGCCGACCCCCAUGCCCCAGGAUCUACCAGAUGCGCCUCUGCAGAAGCCUCCCCACGUGAAGGCUGGCUUCCAGAUCUGUGGUUCCCCAAAUGUGACAGAGGAGUUGGGCCGCACUGGUGUAGAACCUCCGUAGUCAGGCUAGUGGGGCUUUAACAGUUCUCUCCAGGAGAAACUCAGUGGGUAUCAGUUCAUGUUUGUGCAAAUAAAGGGCUCAUUCUGGCGCUCUUCCCCACACAGAGAGACUUCCUGCCCUGGUCAUUUAAUUCUGCCUAAAAAACAAUUUUAGAAAAUGAGGCAUUGGGAGGCCCCCUUCAAGGAAUUCUGAAAAUCCCCCAUGAACUGUCAGCCCACAUCCUACCCAACAGCGAGGCAGACACAGGCCAGGAGGCCCGCAGUUCAUUACUUUGCAUUGUUCAGGGUUCCAGCUGGUUCAAAGAGCCAAGAACAGACACCCAGUGAGUCACUCCUGCAGGCUGUAUCCUUGCUUACUUAAAGUGCCCAAGAGAACUGGCUGAAAAGACAUAAGAACUAAUGGGAAAGACCCGUAAGAUGUCUUACUACAAAAGUUUUAAAAAUCCCUAUCUUGUCUACAUUGCAGAAGUCAUCCAUUUAGAAAAUAUGUUAUAAAAGCCUGUGUAUUAGGCUGAAAAGUGCCCCCAAAGAUGUAUUCACUUCCUAAUUUCUGAAGUGUGUGAAUGUUAUCUUCUAUGACAAAAGAUUGAUUAAAUAAGGAUUUCAAAAUGAAGGGAUUACCCUGCAUUAUCUGGGUGGGCCCUAAAUACAAGAGAGAGGCAGAGAGAUUUGAUUGACAGGCAGAGGAGGAGGCCUUGUGAACACAGAGCAGGGAGAGAGCUGGAGAUGCUGGUCCCGAAGGUCGAAGUGAGGCAGCCACGAGCACAGGAAUGCCGGCGGCCGCCAGGAGCUGAAAGAGGCAAGGAACAGCUUUCCCCUAGAACCUGGGAAGGGAUGUGGCCCUGGGGACACCAUGCUUUUGGACUUGUAGCCUCAGAAGUGUGAGAGAAUAAAUUCCCAUUCUCUUAAGCCACCAAGUGUGUGUGUUCCAGCAGCCACAGGAACAUCCUGUGUUCGUGUGUCCUGCGUCCUCUAACCUGACGUUUCUCCCCGCUGGAAAGGUUUCUUAUGGCGGCUGGGACCGCAGGAUGGAUUACUAUUUUGAGUUCACUUGUUUUACUCACUCACUCAUAUCAUGUAAUAAGAGAAUUUGAUCGAAGGCGCUGACCUCUGCCCGAUGCCCCCUCCCGUGCCCCUGGCUGCAAUGCCCGUCUCCCUGGUUCACCCGAGGGCCCCUUCUUCAGGGACCCUGAUGGGUGGGGAGAUGUUCCGCCUGAACCUCCCUCUUGGAGCUCUUUGCUCAGGUGACCCCCGCUGGCACAAAGAGGGGUGAGGUCAGGGAGGAGGAGUCAGGGACGACCCUGCUUCUGCAGAGAUGGGCUUGAUGCCUCAGCUCCUGACUUGGUCUGUUUCCAGGAGCUGGGUAAAGAAGAUCGCCCUCAUCAAUGUGCGUGGGCAUCAGCCCAUCAUUGAGGGGCUCCCAUAGGACAACAGCAGAGGAGGGCGGAUUCAGUGUUUUUGCUUGAGCUGCGACGCCAUCUUCCCCUGUCCUCGAACUUCGGUGCUCCUGGUUCUCAGCCUUCCGAUUUGGACUGGGGCCACACUGCCAGCUCUCCCGGGUCUCCAGCUUACAGACGGGAGAGCAUGGGACUUCUCAGCCUCCACAGUCACCCGAUCCUCAGAAGCACCAGGGACAACCGGGACUUGCAACUGGCAUCUGAAGGGGACAGGGGCAGUCUUGUAGGACUGAGACCUUCACCUGUGGGAUCCAACAGCAUCUCCAGGGCUGUACAGAUGACCAGCAGGAGGAGGCCAAUGAGCACAACUCCCCCCACAGUGCACAAGACGAUGGUGGCGGUUUUGCGGUUCUUCACGCACGCUAAGGUAAGGAGGAAGCACACGCAUACCAAGCGUCAGGGCCUCCCUAGCUCACUCAGCCCCAUGUGUGCCCCGUCCCAGGUCGCUGCACAGGGCUCAGGGUCCUAGUGCUGGACUCACGGUGACAGGUAGGUGAGCAAAAUGGCCAGGGAUGGGGCAGAGCUGGGGACAAGGCAAGGCCUUGUGGUGUGAAAUAAAAUUUGGCCCCGGGUUUACAAAGAAAGUGAGGCCCCAUUUGCUGGCUGACCAUGGCAGAGCCUGGAGGAGAACUGGCUGUGACCAGGCCGUGAGCUCAGGCCCCGUGGAGGGCCUGUGCCCCAUCUGCCCCCUGGGGUUCCCAUCGCCAGGCGGGGGAGCUAGGAGCAGGUCUCAGUCCUGCAAGGGCCCCCAGUGGACUGCUGGCCCACGCCUGGUGUCGUCACCCAAGUGGUCAGGCCUCCCAGGCCUGUGAUCCGACCCCUCAGCCUCUGUGAUGGG